CCCUUAGAUGUUCUGGGCCGCACGCGCGCUACACUGAUGCAUUCAACAAGCCUAGCCUUGACCGAGAGGUCCGGGUAAUCUUUGAAACUGCAUCGUGAUGGGGCUAGAUUAUUGCAAUUAUUAAUCUUCAACGAGGAAUGCCUAGUAAGCGUGAUUCAUCAAAUCGCGUUGAUUACGUACCUGCCCUUUGUACACACCGCCCGUCGCUCCUACCGAUUGAAUGUGUUGGUGAGGAGCUCGGAUUGGCAGCAGUUGGUGGUUCGCCACCGGCUAUUGCUGAGAAGUCCUCCAAACCGCCCCAUUUAGAGGAAGGAGAAGUCGUAACA
rnacentral:rRNA from 1 species